GUGCUCGCUUCGGCAGCACAUAUACUAACAUUGGAACGAUGCAGAGAUUAGAGUGGCCAUGAGCAAGGGUGACAUGCAAAUUUGUGAAGCGUUCCAUGUUUAA